rnacentral:rRNA from 1 species
AACGAACGCUGGCGGCGUGCUUAACACAUGCAAGUCGAACGGAAAGGCCCUGCUUUUGUGGGGUGCUCGAGUGGCGAACGGGUGAGUAACACGUGAGUAACCUGCCCUUGACUUUGGGAUAACUUCAGGAAACUGGGGCUAAUACCGGAUAGGAGCUCCUGCUGCAUGGUGGGGGUUGGAAAGUUUCGGCGGUUGGGGAUGGACUCGCGGCUUAUCAGCUUGUUGGUGGGGUAGUGGCUUACCAAGGCUUUGACGGGUAGCCGGCCUGAGAGGGUGACCGGCCACAAUGGGACUGAGAUACGGCCCAGACUGCUACGGGAGGCAGCAGUGGGGAAUAUUGCACAAUGGGCGGAAGCCUGAUGCAGCAACGCCGCGUGCGGGAUGACGGCCUGCGGGUUGUAAACCGCUUUCGCCUGUGACGAAGCGUGAGUGACGGUAAUGGGUAAAGAAGCACCGGCUAACUACGUG